rnacentral:lncRNA from 1 species
AUGGUAUCCAGGCCUGUUCCUCACGGGGGACAAGAAGCUUCAUUUAUCAAUGUCUACAAAAAUACAUUUGAAUCUAUUGCCAAAGAGAAGUCCCCAGGUCCCUGUUGUCUGCUGCACUGUCAUCUCACUGAAGCCCUUGCAACUUGUUUAUUAUACUAGUAGGAAUUUUUUAUGUGAAAAGAACCCAAGAAGUACUCCAAAAUUGAUAUGCUUAACCAACCUGUUGUAGCAUUAUCUCUGAGAUGCAAAACAAGAGUUCUACUUUGCAAAAGUCAAUUGGCCUCAUCAGACACCAAAUCACAAAAGAGAGGCAGACAGCAUCUAGAAGCCUUCAACUACAGACAUAGGAGCCACAGCUAGUGUGGGGUAUUUUUUUUUUUUUUUUGUGGGGUAGUUCCUUAGGCCUCCACAGUGUGGUUGAAUGUGAAUGCCCUUCUUGUACUCCAGACCACUGUUGCAAGAAUAUUUUUUGAGGCCAGCCCAUGUCACACUUUUCCUGGUACCUGCCUGAUAACAGAAGUUAACAGGUAUUCUCACAUCUGUGGUGCAACACUCCAUCUCUCUUAGGGGAAAGAGAACAUAAACUCAAAUCAGUGACUUUGAAUCAAAUUGUUAGUUCAGUAACAGUCCAUAUUCUAAAAUGGUUUUAAAGAAUCAAGUACCCAGCAUGUGUUAAGCUCUUUUAUCCAUAUUCUCAUUUACUAUUUCUAAUAGUGACCCUGUUCCCCAUGCUUGAGGAAUCUGGAAUUUCAAGAGAUUAAAUAAAUUGCCCAGUGGACACAAGUAGUAUAGGUGGCCAAUCAAGGAUUCAGUGCCAUCUUGAUUUCUCUCUUUAUACUGGCUCCUGUACAAGGAGGAUAAUAAAUAUUUCUACCUUAAAGGCUGUCCAGAAGAUUGAAUAAAAUAGUUCAUUUAAAUGCUUAGCUUGGUUCCUGACCCUCUGUCCUCAAUAGCUAUUACAAGAAUAAUUUUUGUUUCUAAUACUCACCACAAAGGCCCAAUGCAUGUCAGAAAUGAGAGUGUAUUGGUGGGAUUCCAUAUAAUUUUCCUACCAAUCUUUAUCUUAAAUUCUAUCCCUCUUUCCAGUCACCACAUCUCCAGUUCUUUUUCAUGUUCCUUAACACUGAGCCACCUCCCUUUUUCUCACAAUUAGUAGUUCCUCCAAACUUACCAAGAAAACACGGUGCACUCGGAAAUGCUUUCUCAACUUCCUUGAAUAUCCCUGACACUGUGUGGUUCUGUCAUCCUCUCCUCUCUUCCACCUUCAAGGCAGGCACAUCCCUAUUGACCACAUCCAGGGUCAAGCCUGUUCCUGUUAUCUUGAGUUCAUAUUGCACCUCUUAAAACCUAGCUCCCCACAAUAUUUUCUUUUUAUCAUAAAUAUUUUCCUCAGUGAGGACUCCUCCCAUAAUCCAGCCAUGCUCCACUCUCCCCAUCAUAGGGGGGAAAAAAAACCCUCAAACACACAUAGUUUAGAAAGCAUUGGGAUCCCUGGGUGGCUCGGUGGUUUAGCGCCUGCCUUCGGCCCAGGGCGUGAUCCUGGAGUUCCGAGAUCAAGUCCCACAUCAGGCUCCCUGCAUGGAGCCUGCUUCUGCCUCUGCCUAGGUCUCUGCCUCUCUCUCUGUGUGUCUCUCAUGAAUAAAUAAAUAAACUCUUUAUAAAAAGUUUAGAAAAAGAAAGUAUUGAGGCAGCUUUAAAGAUGGUAGCAUAGGGCAGCCCAGGUGGCUCAGCGAUUUAGUGCUGCCUUCAGCCCCAAGGGUGUGACCCUGGAGACCCGGGAUCGAGUCACACGUCAGGCUCUCUGCAUGGAGCCUGCUUCUGCCUCUGUCUCUCUGUCUCUCAUGAAUAAAUAAAAUCUUUUUUUUUUUAAUAAAAUCUUUUUAAAAAAUGGUAACAUAGAAGGCUCUUGAACCCCCCUGUUCCCACAGACACAGUGACACAUGGAAAAGAAACCCUGAAAUUAGCCACGCAAAUCUUCCAUGCUGAGACAACUAAAAGGACCUAUAUCAAAAUGAGUAGAAAAGGCUUAGACAUGCUCUUGCCAUAAAUGGUGCCCACCCACUGCACAGUGCUAUACAAUCAGAAGGAAAUCUCCAAAUACUGGCUUUUCCUUGAGAGAAGGCUUGGGAUGUGACAUCUACAGCCCCAACUUUUAAGAAUUCUACUUCAGGACUAGCCCUCAAAACACCUAGCUCUGAAAGUCAGUGGGAUUUGUGUUUACGAGUCCUACAAGACUGUAACAAACAAAAAGGCAAUUGCUAAUGAGCACAGACCUACUUAAUCCAGCUGUCACAUCAGGAUCAGCAGAGAAAAUGAACAUCUAGUAUUUCCCAGAAUGGGGUCCAUUUUGAUACUUUAAAAAUUGCCCAGAGGAGGGGGUUCAAGAUGGUAGUGUAGGGAGAUCCUGAUCUCACAUCAUCCCAUUGACUCAUUAGGUCCACACUUAAAUGUGGAAAAACUCCCUCUGAAGGGGACCUGGAAACUGGAUGAACAGAACCUCCACAACAAAGGAUAACACAGAUAGGUAGAAGAGGGAGAGAUGUUAUACUAUAUGUUG